CGUGUCGUGAGAUGUCGUUAAGUCCGCUACGAGCGCAACCCUCGUCCGUGUGUUAUACGUGUCACACGAUACUGCCGGUAUCAAGCCGGAGGAAGGUGGGGAUGAUGUCAAGUCAGCAUGGCCUUUAUAUCCUGGGCUACACACACGCUACAAUGGCAGAUACAAUAGGUUGCGAAACCGCGAGGUGGAGCCAAUCCUCAAAGUCUGUCUCAGUUCAGAUUGUAGGCUGCAACUCGCCUGCAUGAAGUUGGAGUUGCUAGUAAACGCAGGUCAGCUAUACUGCGUUGAAUACGUUCCCGGGGUUU
rnacentral:rRNA from 1 species